CGGGUGAGUAACACGUGAGUGACCUGCCUUUUAGACUGGAACAACUUACCGAAAGGUGAGCUAAUGCCGGAUGAGUUAUAUAAGUGCAUGUUUAUAUAGGAAAAGUUGGGAGACCUGACGCUGAAAGAUGGACUCGCGUCCCAUUAGCUAGUUGGUAGGGUAAUGGCCUACCAAGGCGACGAUGGGUAGCCGGCCUGAGAGGGUGGCCGGCCACACUGGGACUGAGACACGGCCCAAACUCCUACGGAAGGCAGCAG
rnacentral:rRNA from 1 species